ACUUGGUUCGGAGCCAGUAUUUUGAACUGCUCCGCAGUGGGAAAGGGUCACAGUGCAAGAUGUCUAAAGACCUAUUUUGCAGACUGAUAAGGAACACUGUAACCAGCAUGGUGGCUAUCCUCCGUGCCAGUAGUUCGUGUCAAGAACAGAUGUACCCUUCAAAAAGGGAAAUUCAGGCAGUGGCUGAGAAGAUUGUUGAUUAUUACCCUAUGCUGCAAGACUCAUCAAACACGCCUUAUCUGACUGUGUACUCUAAAAUGUAUAAGCGUAUCCAAAACAUCAAGUCCCCAAGAAAAAGGCAAGGACGAAUGCCACAACGGGGGGUACCUAAGAAGAGGUCUCUCCUUGAAGAUGACAGUGAUGCUUCAACCAAUUUGUCGGUUGCUUCAACAGUAAUUCUGCCGGACAGCGAUGAUAACGACGCUGAGCUCAGCCAAGGUAUGCCAAUGGAGAAGUAAAUGAGUGCUAAAAUAUUCCACCACAAUACGAUUUUGUUUGUAAAGACCCGUUAUCAUGAACCCUUUUUAACUUUUUUUAAAGCCUUUCUAGGGGCAUGAAUAAAUGUCCUUGUAUUUGACCUUUUCUUUGGUGUUGUAUGUUAAGACCAGGACAGCCGCAAAACACAAGCAAGGCACUAUCAGACAUUACAGACCAUGUACAGCAAACCUAAGUCUAAGCCAAAUGGAAGUGAUGUUGCUCAGAUUUUGGACUUGGAGUUCGAGGCCAGGCGGGCCUUUAUUGAUUCUGAUGCAACAAAGGAAGAAGACAAGGCAGCCAAGAUUAUGGAUGCAUAUCCAUGUUUUAGAGAUCCCCGACAUGCAGUUGACGAGCUUGGGCGUAUCCUUGGUGGCGCCAACAGUAAAUACAUUGACGAUACCAAGAAAAGAUGGCAGACCUUCUGUACCAAUGUCCAAUUCUAUGGUCUGUGGAAGAAGGUCCUAAAACCCCCCAUUCCUGUGGAUAUGGCUGGAGGUAUGUUCUGUAUUAUAAUCUGCAUUGUAAUCUAUCAAAUCAUGUGCAGAAUAUGUGCAUAGUGUAUCUGACAU